CCUGCCCAGGGCUCCCUCUGCUGCCAUGACUCCUCUAAACUUGGCAGUGGAAUAAAAAUCAAUUUACGAUUCCUGCCCUAAAAUUUAAUAUCACUUCAAAAGAGCACCAAGGUAUACCAGGCAAGAAGCCCUAAACAUGAAUCCCUUUCAUUUAAAUUAACAACAUAGCCCUUUAUGUAAGUAGACAGACUUGCAAAAAAUAAAUAAAUAAAUAAUGCCUGGGGAUAUAUGUGUGUGUGUGUGUGUGUGUGUGUGUGUGUGUGUGUGUGUGUGUGUGUGUGUGUGUGUAAUAUAUAUAUAUAUAAUUUUUUUUUUCUGAGACGGAGUUUUGCUCUUGUUGCCCAGGCUGGAGUGCAAUGGUGUGAUCUCAGCUCACUGCAACCUCUGCCUCUCGGGAUCAAGCGAUUAUCCUGCCUCAGCUUCCCCAGUAGCUGGAAUUACAGGUGCCCUCCACCACGCCCAGCUAAUUUUUGUAUUUUUAGUAGAGACGGGGUUUCAUCAUGUUGGCCAGGCUGGUCUUGAACUCCUGGCCUCAGGUGAUCCGCCUGCCUCAGCCUCCCAAAGGGCUGGGAUUACAGGCAUGAGCCACCAUGCCUGGCCUUGGGGACAUACAUAUUUUUUGAAGAAUAAAAUGCUUUUCACUCCUGCCAAAACAGAAAGAAGAAAUACAACAAACAAAGCCAAUCUCUAAAGUGCUCUCUCCAAAUUAAUAAUACUGUAAAUUUACCUUUAUGCCAAAGGCCAGGUGUGUGUCUAUUUCAUUUUAUCUUUCCCUAUAAUGACUUGUGCCGAAAAGUAAUAAGCAAGCACUGUCCUCACCUCACAAGUGUGUUUUUAUUUUAAAUUAAGUAAUAUGACAUGUGGGAGAACUCUUAGUUCACUGCAUGACAUGAUACAAAUAUAGUUUACAAAUAAAUAUUAUAACAGUAUUUAUCAAUAUUUGUUGAAUGCUUGAUAAGAGCAUUCUUAUCAAUGGUUGAACCCUUCAUGGUUGAACCCUUAUCUUAUCAAUGGUUGAACCCUUCAUGGCAUCCCAUAACCUGCCCUCCUUGAGUUAGUGGCUUUGCAAAUGAGUUUCUUCACUGGUGAUCAUAACAAGAAUAAUGUUAAAUUUCACGGAGCUGUGCUUUCCACAGGCCUCAGUGAGAAGGAGGGCCAAGGGUCAAAUGAGAGUAAGGGAAGCCACAGUGGGGCCAAAAGGCCCUUUCUUCCCAGUGGGCAGGAGGCCGCACCCUCUCCACUGGCCCAUGUUAACCCGAUAAAUCCCUGCCCUGCCUUUCUCUAGGCUCAGGGAGGUCACCUUCUCCUAUUCCUAUUUGUCAGUACAAUAGCCCCUGGCUUUACUUCCACACACAUUCAGGAUAAGUUGUGAUCAUGGAAAUUUCGAUUCCUUACACUGACUGACUACAUUUUACAUAUUGUUGACAGUAUCCCUGUGCCAUUUGCAGCCUGCUUCCAAACCUCUCUGUGGGGUGCAGGACACCCAGAGGUUUCUCCAUGGAUUCUGGUGUCAACCACAGCAUGUAGCCUGGUACCUCAGAGAUGGGGUCCACCUUUCUUAGUGGCCCAGUGUUUGAAGUCACGCUACCUUUCCUCAGGUGACCUGUGUUCCCCUCCUCUGAAGUAUGACUCUGAGCCUGCUGGGUCAUCUGGCAGCAGUAGCACAACAUGGCUCUGCUAUGAGAACAAUGUCACUUACUCCUGGGCAUCCCUGACCCAGCCCUGUUCUCACAGACCUCCUUAGCUUGGUAAAUAUUUAUCCAGCAUGC
rnacentral:lncRNA from 10 species